UCCGUAGGUGAACCUGCGGAGGGAUCAUUACUGAGUACUACACUCUCUACCCUUUGUGAACUAUUAUACCUGUUGCUUCGGCGGCGCCCGCAAGGGUGCCCGCCGGUCUCAUCAGAAUCUCUGUUUUCGAACCCGACGAUACUUCUGAGUGUUCUUAGCGAACUGUCAAAACUUUUAACAACGGAUCUCUUGGCUCCAGCAUCGAUGAAGAACGCAGCGAAACGCGAUAUGUAAUGUGAAUUGCAGAAUUCAGUGAAUCAUCGAAUCUUUGAACGCACAUGGCGCCUUCCAGUAUCCUGGGAGGCAUGCCUGUCCGAGCGUCGUUUCAACCCUCGAGCCCCUGUGGCCCGGCGUUGGGGAUCUGCCACGGCAGGCCCCUAAAACCAGUGGCGGACCCGAAGGCCCUCUCCUUUGCGCAGUAGCAUCAGCCUCGCAUUGGGAUCCCUCGGCGUCCUGCCUCUAAACCCCCCACAAGUCCGCUCCGGCGGCACCAAGGUUGACCUCGGAUCAGGUAGGAAUACCCGCUGAACUUAAGCAUAUCAAUAAGCGGAGGAA
rnacentral:rRNA from 1 species